AGUUGCUAACAUUCAGGCCAGGUGUUGACCAGGAAGUGAAGCGAGAUUAUUAAGAGUACACUUACACACAGCAAGCUGCAUCACAAGUGCCUCAGAAUGCUUGAAAAUGAGGUCCUAUCUGGCACAGCUGCCCAGGGUUUGCCUUACCUGUUCACAUCUGUGGGUUCUCUGUGAUCAAGAACUGCCUGCCCUGGGAAAUCCAUUUGUUUUCCUCCACUCAGUGCCAAAUGCCUUCGUCUUUGUUUCUGCAAGCUCUCAACAUUCACUGCAGGCUCUAACCCAAUGACAAGUCUUUAGAAGAGAAGAGAGGGAAAAAUAGACAGAAACACACCAAGGAGAAGACAAUGUGAAGACAGAGGCAGAUAUUGGAGUGAUGCAUCUACAGGCCAAGGAAUGCCAAGAAUUGCCAGCAGCCACCAGAAGCCAGGAGAUAACAGAUUCUCUGUUCGAGCCUCCAGAAGGAUCCAAUGCAGCUGACACCUUGAUUUCAGACUUCUGGCCUCCAGAACUGUGAGAAUAAAUAUCUGAUGUUUUAAACU
ensembl:lncRNA novel transcript